rnacentral:rRNA from 1 species
CGUAGGGGCUAGCGUUGUCCGGAAUUACUGGGCGUAAAGGGUGCGUAGGUGGUUUCUUAAGUCAGAGGUGAAAGGCUACGGCUCAACCGUAGUAAGCCUUUGAAACUGGGGAACUUGAGUGCAGGAGAGGAGAGUGGAAUUCCAUGUGUAGCGGUGAAAUGCGUAGAUAUAUGGAGGAACACCAGUGGCGAAGGCGACUCUCUGGUCUGUAACUGACGCUGAGGCUCGAAAGCGUGGGGAGCAAACAGGAUUAGAUACCCUGGUAGU